rnacentral:rRNA from 1 species
GACGAACGCUGGCGGCGUGCCUAAUACAUGCAAGUCGAACGCAUUUUCUUUCACCGUAGCUUGCUACACCGAAAGAAAAUGAGUGGCGAACGGGUGAGUAACACGUGGGUAACCUGCCCAUCAGCGGGGGAUAACACUUGGAAACAGGUGSUAAUACCGCAUAAUUCCAUUUACCGCAUGGCAGAUGGAUGAAAGGCGCUUYUGCGUCACUGAUGGAUGGACCCGCGGKGCAUUAGCUAGUUGGUGGGGUAACGGCCUACCAAGGYUGCGAUGCAUAGCCGACCUGAGAGGGUGAUCGGCCACACUGGGACUGAGACACGGCCCAGACUCCUACGGGAGGCAGCAGUAGGGAAUCUUCGGCAAUGGACGCAAGUCUGACCGAGCAACGCCGCGUGAGUGAAGAAGGUUUUCGGAUCGUAAAACUCUGUUGUUAGAGAAGAACAAGGAUGAGAGUGGAAAGUUCAUCCCUGACGGAU